rfam:Schistosoma mansoni, Puerto Rico, WGS project CABG01000000 data, contig: 0094
GCACUGCUGAGGAGUCCCACAAUAGGACGAGACAACCGUUCAGUGC